CCUACGGGGGGCAGCAGUGGGGAAUAUUGCGCAAUGGGGGAAACCCUGACGCAGCAACGCCGCGUGAGCGAUGAAGGUCUUCGGAUUGUAAAGCUCUGUCUUUAGGGACGAUAAUGACGGUACCUAAGGAGGAAGCCACGGCUAACUACGUGCCAGCAGCCGCGGUAAUACGUAGGUGGCAAGCGUUGUCCGGAUUUACUGGGCGUAAAGAGUAUGUAGGCGGAUAUUUAAGUCAGAUGUGAAAUUCCCGGGCUUAACCUGGACGCUGCAUUUGAUACUGGAUAUCUAGAGUGUGGGAGAGGAAAGCGGAAUUCCUAGUGUAGCGGUGAAAUGCGUAGAGAUUAGGAAGAACACCAGUGGCGAAGGCGGCUUUCUGGACCAUAACUGACGCUGAGAUACGAAAGCGUGGGGAGCAAACAGGAUUAGAUACCCCUGUAGUC
rnacentral:rRNA from 1 species